GUUUUACGUUCUUAUCAUCCUAUUUUAGGCUUUAUAAUUAGAACCAAGAGCUUCUGUGUUGGUAGAAAACUGCGUGUUCUCUUAAGCCCUUUCCCUUUCUUUUCACAGACUGAAAAUGGGGAAUCUGUUCUUGAGGCCUCUCCUUAGGGAGAGCAGCUGGGCGUCUCUAUGGGAAGGUAGCGACAUCUGGGCCUGGACGCCAGAUUGCUUUGCUCCCCGUCUGCUGAGAGCUUGGGCGCUGCAGGUGAGCAGCCACAUCGCAAGAUGAACUCAGGAAUUCUGGAAAUGCCUUGGAUAACUCACUCUCUGGGGAGUUUGGUAUAUUUUCGUACGAUGAUGAGGGGAAAGGAUUGAAGAUUCUGGCAAGGGCUGCGGGGUGAAAAGUAUCAUUUCCCCCCACUUUGGGAAUGAAUGUUGUUGAAUAUAUAUUGGAAAGAAAACAGAUCUUCCUGCUAACCGUUGUAAAGGAAUUACAUUAGAAAACAGAAGAAUUGACUGAGGCUUUUAAGUAACACAGGGAAUCCUCUGGGAAUGGGUCAACUGUCUUGCAUCCUCACUCGCCAGACUGGAGACAAUGGGGGUAAAAAAUUAAUAACAACCUCAACAAAUGCCUUUCUGAAUUUAAUGUAGUGCACUGUUGUCCCCAUUAACAGAUGCACACCUCUGAACUGAAUAGGACGGCAUUUGCAGUCUUAAUGCACAUUUACACAGGAGUAAGCUGAGAUAAACCCAGUGGGAUUUGGCUUAUAAGUAGAUGAGUUGGAUGCUCAUGUCAGAACUUUGCAUAAAAUAAAAUAUCAUCCAGUA